rnacentral:lncRNA from 1 species
AUCAGAAGGUUACAACAGAAACAACCAAAGAGACAAAAGAGCAAACUUAGUCUUCUUAAUCUCCGAUGGGUUGCAAAAAAACUGACUUAUUUACAUUAAUUAACCCUUUGAAUUUCCAGAUCUCCUUCGUCGAUCAUGUACUUAAUGUAAUUUUCUUCUUCCUGUGAUCUCUCCAACCUUACAGAAAUUUUUCUUAAUUAGUUGGGUAAAAAUUAGAUAAUAGGAAAAAAC